rnacentral:rRNA from 1 species
CCUACGGGGAGCAGCAGUGGGGGAUAUUGCACAAUGGGGGGAACCCUGAUGCAGCGACGCCGCGUGGGUGAAGAAGCGCCUCGGCGCGUAAAGCCCUGUCAGCAGGGAAGAAAAUGACGGUACCUGAAGAAGAAGCCCCGGCUAACUACGUGCAAGCAGCGUAGGGAAUACGUAGGGGGCAAGCGUUAGCCGGAUGUACUGGGGGUAAAGGGGGCGCAGACGGGGAUGCAAGCCAGGAGUGAAAGCCCGGGGCCCAACCCCGGGACGGCAUUUGGAAGUGGGUGGCUGGAGGGCAGGAGGGGCAGGCGGAAUUCCUGGGGUAGCGGUGAAAUGCGUAGAUAUCAGGAGGAACACCGGUGGCGAAGGCGGCCUGCUGGACUGCAACUGACGUUGAGGCCCGAAAGCGUGGGGAGCAAACAGGAUUAGAUACCCGUGUAGUC